rnacentral:lncRNA from 1 species
UACUAAGCUGUGUCUUUGCACUUGUAUUAGACACCACAAGUUUUUUUUUUUGUUUUUGUGAAACACUUGUAUUCGGUACCUUUAUACAUUUGGAACCCAGUUUACCUUUAAUGAAAAUAAUGUAAAAGGUGAAUUAAUGUAGCUGACUAAAGCUAAAAAUAAAAAUCAAUAAGUUAAUACCAUAUGUUCUUGAAUUUGUGAAGCACUAGAGCCACCAUGUUUCUUUCUGUUUGUUAGCAGAUUGACCUCUACGCAACCUUUCCACUGUUUUUCCCUUUUUGCCUUCUUUUUCCACCGUUUUGUACCCUUUUUGCCUUCUUUUUUCUUAAAUCCCUUUACUUGCAAUGAACCAUCAUUACUACUUUCUAUCUUUUUAACUUUGCUAAAUAUCUCAUUCAUUUGAGCUUAUAUAUUUAUUUAAUGUCAUUACAGAUUGAUCCAUUGCAGAUACUUUGCACGUGGAGACGGCCUGUGUCCUCACAGACACCGUUGUUUCUAUAGGGUACACACACCUUAUCUCUUGCUUUUUAAUUUAGUUAUUUUCUAUAUUUAAGAGAAUUAAAGCAUUGCAUGUUUUUUUGUUCAGCAUGAGGUGUUUCCUCACUCUUACAGAUGGCGUUACGGCACGUCACCACCACCACCACCACCACCAGCAGCUCAAUCUUCAGACACUGAGAUUGAGAGUAUGCUCAAUUUCUCUCUCCACUCAUCUAUUUUCAAUUCUUUUAAAAUUUUAAUACAUAUUUUCAUUGCUUUCUCUCUCUUUUUCUCUUCACUCAUAUAGGGAUUCUUGGAGCUGACGACUACGAUUUCUCGGAUGAUUCUCAUCCAGAUUCUAUAUGAUACAGUCAUCUUGGAUCUCUCUUCGUACUAUUGUUUUUUAGAAACACUGUAUAGUUGAUUUUUGACAUGUUUCACUGUUGUUUUUUUUAGUAGAACUGAUUUUGACUCAAUCUUCUCAACACUCCUACACCGUCAUUCCCAAUCACACAACCAUUCUAAUUAGACAAUUCCAGAAUAAACCCAAUAUUUCUAACAGCAUUCUUAAAUUCACUAUUAAUGAUUACGAAUUCAAAAGCUUAAAAUUAAAUGUACCUUAAAUCAAAACCAAAUCAAGCUCCUGUGAACUGAACUAACACAAACUUGAAAACAGCACAAAGAGCAACAUCAGCAGCAACAAAACAAUCCAACACCAUUUACAGAAUAAUAAGCGACCCAGGAAGUGUUUCAUGAAAAGCUUUGAUCUUUGGAAGCAGGAUAAUGUUGGAAUUGUUGUUGUAAUAACUAUACUCAGAUUUACGCUUUUUUUAUCCUGACCGUUCAUCUGAUAUCGAACGGUUAUAGAUGAAAACGAUAAUUUCGAUCCCAUGUUUGAUGAAACCACUCUAAUAAAGUCCACUCUCAUUGACUAUACAUCCGGACUAAUACCUCAAAUUCGUCCUUGAAUUUUAAAAAAUCGGUCAAAUUCGUCUCUGAAUUUUGCAAAAUAGCUAUUUAGUCCAUGAAUUUACAAAAUGUCAAUCAAAUCAGUCCCUCCAUUAAGUUAGUCCGUUAAGGAAGGUGACGUGUAACGUUAACCUCUUACAAGGCUCCUCUUACAAGGUUUACCACGUCAGAUGUCACGCAAGCA